rnacentral:rRNA from 1 species
AGUGAACGCUGGCGGUAGGCCUAACACAUGCAAGUCGAACGGCAGCACAGUAAGAGCUUGCUCUUACGGGUGGCGAGUGGCGGACGGGUGAGGAAUAUAUCGGAAUCUACUUUUUCGUGGGGGAUAACGUAGGGAAACUUACGCUAAUACCGCAUACGACCUACGGGUGAAAGCAGGGGAUCUUCGGACCUUGCGCGAAUGAAUGAGCCGAUGUCGGAUUAGCUAGUUGGCGGGGUAAAGGCCCACCAAGGCGACGGUCCGUAGCUGGUCUGAGAGGAUGGUCAGCCACACUGGAACUGAGACACGGUCCAGACUCCUACGGGAGGCAGCAGUGGGGAAUGUUGGGCAAUGGGCGCAAGCCUGAUCCAGCCAUACCGCGUGGGUGAAGAAGGCCUUCGGUUUGUAAAGCCCUUUUGUUGGGAAAGAAAAGCAGCAGGUUAAUACCCCGCUGUUCUGACGGUACCCAAAGAAUAAGCACCGGCUAACUUCGUG